AUACGGAGGGUGCAAGCGUUAAUCGGAAUUACUGGGCGUAAAGCGCGCGUAGGCGGUUUUUUAAGUCGGAUGUGAAAGCCCCGGGCUCAACCUGGGAACUGCAUCCGAUACUGGAUAACUAGAAUGCGGGAGAGGGAGGUAGAAUUCCAUGUGUAGCAGUGAAAUGCGUAGAUAUAUGGAGGAAUACCAGUGGCGAAGGCGGCCUCCUGGCUCGACAUUGACGCUGAGGUGCGAAAGCGUGGGGAGCAAACGGGAUUAGAUACCCCGGUAGUCCACGCCGUAAACGAUGUCUACUAGCUGUAGGGGUACUUGAGACCUUUGUAGCGCAGCUAACGCAAUAAGUAGACCGCCUGGGGGAGUACGGCCGCAAGGUUAAAACUCAAAUGAAUUGACGGGGGCCCGCACAAGCAGUGGAGCAUGUGUUUAAUUCGAUGCAACGCGAAGAACCUUACCAGCCUUGACAUCCCCGGAACUUUCUAGAGAUAG
rnacentral:rRNA from 1 species